rnacentral:tRNA from 1 species
CCCGGUGGCUCAGAUGGUAAAGAAUCUGCCUGCAAUGCAGAAGACCUGGGUUCAAUCCCUGAGUUGGGA